UACGUUUAAGUAUAUAUUGUACGGAAGUUUUUGAUGCUUUCAGGGAUAGUUAAAAGCUAUCAAACGUAG
rnacentral:tRNA from 1 species